GUGGGGAAUAUUGGACAAUGGGCGAAAGCCUGAUCCAGCCAUGCCGCGUGUGUGAAGAAGGUCUUCGGAUUGUAAAGCACUUUAAGUUGGGAGGAAGGGCAGUAAGUUAAUACCUUGCUGUUUUGACGUUACCGACAGAAUAAGCACCGGCUAACUUCGUGCCAGCAGCCGCGGUAAUACGAAGGGUGCAAGCGUUAAUCGGAAUUACUGGGCGUAAAGCGCGCGUAGGUGGUUUUGUAAGUUGGAGGUGAAAUCCCCGGGCUCAACCUGGGAACAGCAUCAAAAACUGGCGAACUAGAGUACGGUAGAAGGUGGUUGAAUUUCCUGUGUAGCGGUGAAAUGCGUAGAUAUAGGAAGGAACACCAGUGGCGAAGGCGACCACCUGGACUGAUACUGACACUGAGGUGCGAAAGCGUGGGGAGCAAACAGGAUUAGAAACCCUUGUAGUCC
rnacentral:rRNA from 1 species